CACGUAGGCGGUUUGUCAAGUUGGGGGUGUAAGCUCUAGGCUUAACCUAGAAAUUGCCUCCAAAACUAGCAUACUUGAGUAUUAGAGGGGAAGCUGGAAUUCACGGUGUAGCGGUGAAAUGCGUAGAUAUCGUGGAGAACACCCGUGGCGAAGGCGGGCUUCUGGCUAAUUACUGACGCUGAGGUGCGAAAGCUAGGGGAGCGAACG
rnacentral:rRNA from 1 species